AACGUAGGACGCAAGCGUUAUCCGGAGUUACUGGGCGUAAAGGGCGGGCAGGCGGUCUCACACGUCGGAUGUGAAAGCGCCCGGCUAAACCGGGCGAGGCCAUGUGAUACGGUGGGACUGGAAGGCAGCAGAGGUAGGCGGAAUUCCGGGUGGAGUGGUGAAAUGCGUAGAGAUCCGGAGGAACACCAGAGGCGAAGGCGGCCUACUGGGCUGCACUUGACGCUGAGCCGCGAAAGCCAGGGGAGCGAACGGG
rnacentral:rRNA from 1 species